AAACUAACUUCCCGAAGCCGCAGAGACACCUGGACCCGCACACCGUGAGCCAGGCUACCUGAAGGGCCCGAGGGGCGCGCUCAAGGAGCGGGGACCGAGCUAGGCGGAGAGGCGCGCGGGGACGGCACCUGCGCUCCCUCUCCCGACGGCCAGGCUCGGCCUCCUCCCCGCCCGCUCGCCGCCGCCGCCUACCUGUCUGAGGAUGAAGCUGGUCGAAGUGGUGCUGCCAUCCGAUCUUUUCAACCUGCUCCUCCGGGUCGUGGUGCCUCGGGCCACCUGGACUCGACACACGGGGCCAGAGAGAAGCCAGUGAGGACGGCGGCGAGGAGCUGGGCAGCCAGCGGGCUGGAGUCCGCCUGCUGGGGACCUGCGCCCCCGGGUCCCCCCGAGCUCGCCCCCGAAUCUCCUCCGCGUCUCCCCACGGCCGCCCUCGCGCCCACCCACUCGCCCUACGCCUCGACGGCUGCAGGACUCCCGCGCAGCGCAGCGCAGCGCAGCCCGCGGGCACCCACCACAUCCAUUAACAAAGACUCUCGGGGUGCGGGGUCCGAGUCCCCGGCAUCGGCUGGGGAGGCUGCAGGCUCCGGAGCGGGAGCGCGGAGACCGAGGAUUGAGAACUGGUGGUCAACUUAAUGCCAGCUGGAUUACAUCAGCAUGCAUUGAACGAAGAUGCUCCACCUGAGGAAAGUUGCCAGGAUAAAUAGGUGGAGAAGAAGGGAGAUGUGGAGGUUGAGGCAUUAAGGAGGCCUUGUGGAUUCUUCUAUGAAUUGCUGUCUGAGCUGUUGGUUCUCCUGGAGAAGAUUUGGUCCUCACAUCGAGCAUUGCUUCCUGGCUCUGGAGGAGAAGACGUGUGCCGCCUGGUCUCCAGGAUGAACUCAUCAUGCUGCUUCCUGGCACGUACCCGACUGUGCUUGUCAUCAGAGGAGCUCGGGGGGCCUCCAGAUCGCUGAGGACAGCUGUGGUGCCUUUCAGGACAGCCCCGCUCUUUGUUGGGAGUGUAACUUCUCGGCUCCAGCAUAGAACCCUCAUCCCACUAGCACAGCUCCUUCAUCCUGCAGGCAUAGACUUUCAGGCUUCCAUUGCUGAGCCUGGGGUCUUCCUGGUACGGAUCUGUAAGAGACUGGUGUGAGUCCUUCUUGUGGGCUCUGGACCUCUGUUGGACCUGUGGGAGACAUCGUCCUGAGCUCUGGGUUUUUAUCUGGACUCAUGUGGGACAUUGCUGUGGGGUUUAGGCUUUUGACUAAAUAAUCUAUGUCUUGGG